UGACUUGCAGCAAUUGUGAAAACCAA
rnacentral:piRNA from 1 species